GUUGUACAGGCUGAACUCAAACUCCAGGGCUCAAGUCAUCCUCCUACCUCAGCCUCUGACGAAGCUGGGACUCCGGGCAUGCACCAAGAAGUCCAGGUUUACCGCAACAGUCUGUGGAGGAGGAAGAGUCUGAAAUGGCAACUGGACCAAAGCUUCUGCAGCUGGAAGUUCCUCUUCUGACACCAAAGCAUUCUGCACCAAAACCUGGCCCUGGGACAGAAUUUCAGGCUGCACUUGUAAAGACUGCAUAGACUGCAAGGGCAGUGGUGGAAUCUGAGCUGGAGGAGAUGUCGACAUCUGUGGAGGACUUGCAAUUGGGAUUGGAGAGGACUGCAGGGAUGAAUAUUGCUGGUGUGAUGGAGAGACAAUCUGCUGGCCUGGGGAUACCAAGGCAGACUGCUGAACUGGGCCAAUGUGUACAACAGGGGAAGCUGGAAGUGGAAGAUGGGAUGGAAGAUUCAACUGUGCUGUAGCUUGCACCUGAUUAGCAGUGGACUGCUGCAAAUUUGGCCCUGGCUGGAGAGCUGAUGACACAAGAGGGUGUGGCUGAAUAAGUGCUUGUGGAUGAAUAAUUAUAGUAGGAGACUGACUUGGUGAAUGAGGUGGUGGAGGAGACACCACUACAGACUGCUGUGCUGACUGUGACUGAUUAGGAGACACUGUUAAAGGAGAGGGAUGACUCUGAAUCGGUGAACAAUGCUGUGACUGGGCAUUACUGGGAGCUGGAGGAAGGCCAUGGUUCUGGAGUGGUAUACAGUGCUGGGAUGGGGGUGGGUCUUGAGUUGAAUUCUGAAGUGUGAUUGGCUGAAUUUGCUGUUGCUGCUGUUGUAAUAUCAGCUGAUGAUGGGAAACUUUGGAAGGUG
rnacentral:lncRNA from 1 species